AUACGGAGGGGGCUAGCGUUGUUCGGAAUUACUGGGCGUAAAGGGCGCGUAGGCGGCUCGUCGAGUCGGAUGUGAAAGCCCCGGGCUCAACCCGGGAUGUGCAUUCGAUACUGGCGGGCUCGAGUCCGGGAGAGGAUGGCGGAAUUCCCAGUGUAGAGGUGAAAUUCGUAGAUAUUGGGAAGAACACCGGUGGCGAAGGCGGCCAUCUGGACCGGCACUGACGCUGAGGCGCGAAAGCGUGGGGAGCAAACAGGAUUAGAUACCCUGGUAGUCCACGCCGUAAACGAUGUGCGCUAGACGUCGGGGGUUUGGCCUUCGGUGUCGCAGCUAACGCAUUAAGCGCACCGCCUGGGGAGUACGGCCGCAAGGUUAAA
rnacentral:rRNA from 1 species